rnacentral:rRNA from 2 species
UGGGGGAUAUUGCACAAUGGAGGAAACUCUGAUGCAGCAACGCCGCGUGAGGGAAGAAGGUCUUCGGAUUGUAAACCUCUGUCUUUAGGGACGAAGAAAGUGACGGUACCUAAAGAGGAAGCCACGGCUAACUACGUGCCAGCAGCCGCGGUAAUACGUAGGUGGCGAGCGUUGUCCGGAUUUACUGGGUGUAAAGGGUGCGUAGGCGGGUUAUCAAGUUGGGUGUGAAACCUCCGUGCUUAACACGGAGCCUGCAUUCAAAACUGGUAAUCUUGAGUGAGGUAGAGGUAGAUGGAAUUCCCGGUGUAGCGGUGAAAUGCGUAGAGAUCGGGAGGAACACCAGUGGCGAAGGCGGUCUACUGGGCCUUAACUGACGCUGAGGCACGAAAGCAUGGGUAGCAAACAGG